AUAAUUAUUGACCUGAGGAAUAAUAUGGAUUGAUGUGGUUGUGAGAAUAGACGUUGUGUUUGUGAUUGUGAAAAUGUGAGUGUGUGUCUGUGUGUGCGCGCGCGCUUUCCUGAACCAGGGAUCCCACUUGACAAAUUGACCAAAGGAGCAUUAGUGGAAAAAAACAGGGUAGCCCUGAGACAAUAGGAUGACGUCACGACCAAUGAGAACCGCCAGCAGGGGGCGCAAGGAUUCACUUCUCUCUUGGACACUGACGGGUCUCGACACGCAAAUUCUGCUCCUGGCGUUGGCCGUCAGUGGAAGAGCGUAGCUUCGGUGGAUUUUGUGACGAGCGGAUUUACAAUGAGGGAAUGCUGUGAACGG